UACGAAGGGGGCUAGCGUUGCUCGGAAUCACUGGGCGUAAAGCGCACGUAGGCGGAUUGCUAAGUCAGGGGUGAAAUCCUGGAGCUCAACUCCAGAACUGCCCUUGAUACUGGCGGUCUCGAGUCCGGGAGAGGUGAGUGGAACUGCGAGUGUAGAGGUGAAAUUCGUAGAUAUUCGGAAGAACACCAGUGGCGAAGGCGACUUACUGGACACGUAUUGACGCUGAGGUGCGAAAGCGUGGGGAGCAAACAGG
rnacentral:rRNA from 1 species